rnacentral:rRNA from 1 species
GAUGAACGCUGGCGGCGUGCCUAAUACAUGCGAGUCGAGCGAAUGGAUUAAGAGCUUGCUCUUAUGAAGUUAGCGGCGGACGGGUGAGUAACACGUGGGUAACCCGCCCAUAAGACUGGGAUAACUCCGGGAAACCGGGGCUAAUACCGGAUAACAUUUUGAACCGCAUGGUUCGACAUUGAAAGGCGGCUUCGGCUGUCACUUAUGGAUGGACCCGCGUCGCAUUAGCUAGUUGGUGAGGUAACGGCUCAACAAGGCAACGAUGCGUAGCCGACCUGAGAGGGUGAUCGGCCACACUGGGACUGAGACACGGCCCAGACUCCUACGGGAGGCAGCAGUAGGGAAUCUUCCGCAAUGGACGAAAGUCUGACGGAGCAACGCCGCGUGAGUGAUGAAGGCUUUCGGGUCGUAAAACUCUGUUGUUAGGGAAGAACAAGUGCUAGUUGAAUAAGCUGGCACCUUGACGGUACCUAACCAGAAAGCCACGGCUAACUACGUGCCAGCCGCCGCCGUAA